rnacentral:rRNA from 1 species
CCUACGGGGGGCUGCAGUGGGGAAUAUUGGACAAUGGGCGAAAGCCUGAUCCAGCCAUGCCGCGUGUGUGAAGAAGGCCUUCGGGUUGUAAAGCACUUUCAGUGGGGAAGAAAGCCUUGGGGCUAAUACCCUCGAGGAAGGACAUCACCCACAGAAGAAGCACCGGCUAACUCCGUGCCAGCAGCCGCGGUAAUACGGAGGGUGCGAGCGUUAAUCGGAAUUACUGGGCGUAAAGCGCGCGUAGGCGGUCUGAUAAGCCGGUUGUGAAAGCCCCGGGCUCAACCUGGGAACGGCAUCCGGAACUGUCAGGCUAGAGUGCAGGAGAGGAAGGUAGAAUUCCAGGUGUAGCGGUGAAAUGCGUAGAGAUCGGGAGGAAUACCAGUGGCGAAGGCGGCCUUCUGGACUAACACUGACGCUGAGGUGCGAAAGCGUGGGUAGCAAACAGGAUUAGAUACCCGAGUAGUC